AUUGAACGCUGGCGGCAUGCCUUACACAUGCAAGUCGAACGGCAGCACGGGAGCAAUCCUGGUGGCGAGUGGCGAACGGGUGAGUAAUAUAUCGGAACGUGCCCAGUCGUGGGGGAUAACGCAGCGAAAGCUGUGCUAAUACCGCAUACGAUCUAAGGAUGAAAGCGGGGGAUCGCAAGACCUCGCGCGAUUGGAGCGGCCGAUAUCAGAUUAGCUAGUUGGUGGGGUAAAGGCCCACCAAGGCGACGAUCUGUAGCUGGGCUGAGAGGACGACCCGCCACACUGGAACUGAGACACGGUCCAGACUCCUACGGGAGGCAGCAGUGGGGAAUUUUGGACAAUGGGCGCAAGCCUGAUCCAGCAAUGCCGCGUGCAGGAUGAAGGCCUUCGGGUUGUAAACUGCUUUUGUACGGAACUAAACGGCCCUUUCUAAUACAGGGGGCUAAUGACGGUACCGUAAGAAUAAGCACCGGCUAACUACGUGCCAGCCGCCGCCGUAAAAC
rnacentral:rRNA from 1 species